rnacentral:rRNA from 1 species
GACGAACGCUGGCGGCAUGCUUAACACAUGCAAGUCGAACGCAGCAUCGGGGCUUGCUCCGAUGGCUGAGUGGCAGACGGGUGAGUAACACGUGGGAACUUGCCUCUUAGACUGGGACAACCACUGGAAACGGUGGCUAAUACCGGAUACGCCCUGAGGGGGAAAGCAGCAAUGCGCUAAGAGAGAGGCCCGCGGCAGAUUAGGUAGUUGGUGGGGUAAAGGCCUACCAAGCCUGGGAUCUGUAGCUGGUUUGAGAGGAUGAUCAGCCACACGGGGACAGGGACACGGCCCAGAGUCCUACGGGAGGCAGCAGUGGGGAAUAUUGGACAAUGGGGGAAACCCUGAUCCAGCAAUGCCGCGUGAAUGAAGAAGGCCUUAGGGUUGUAAAAUUCUUUUGUUCAUGACGAUAAUGACGGUAGCGGACGAAUAAGCCCUGGCUAACUCUGUGCCAGCAGCCGCCGCCG